CUGGGAUGUGGCUUGGGAAUCGGGAUUUUUAAACGCUCCCCUAGUGGCGGGCCCCGUGGCUGAGUGGUUAAGUUCUCUCGCUCCGCUUCGGAGCGCCGGUUCAGAUCCUGGGCGCAGACAUGGCACCACUCAUCAGGCCAUCCUGUGGAGUCAUCCCACAUGCCACAACUAGAAGGACCCACAACUAAAAUAUACAACAGCCAUAAUGCCCAGCUUCUAUUCAGAUUAGCCCUGAGCUAACAUCCGUUGCCCAUCUGCCUCUACUUUAUAUAUGGAACGCCUACCACGGCAUGGCUUGCUGAGUGGGUUAUAUUCAUUGACCUACAUAUCUGCUAAUCUGUGUAAUGGUUUAUGCAGGAAAUUGCAAUUGAAGAAAGAUCUUACAUCAUACCAAGAGCGGAGGUUCCAGAGACGUGAUUUUCAAUUUAUCAAGAUGGGCAAUGGAUACUUUCAGUGUUCCUUGAGUAACAGAAAUGGCUUUUUUAUUGGAAUGAAACAGCAGCUGGACGUUCAGUAGGGGCAGAAGUCUUUUGGGUGGAAUUGCAGAGAAGUGCCAUGCUCCUGUCCCUUGGAGGAAGGAAAGAAGACAUAAUACUAAGUCAAGUGAAGAUGUUAUACUAAGUCUGGAGUUUUGAUAUCUUGAGCUGGACAUUCUUAUUAUUGCAUUAGUCACUGCAUUAGCGUAAAGUAACCAGAUUUCACCUAUUACCCGAGAAUCAGCAGUGAUGCCUUGCAACAGACAGAGUGUUUGUCCUGAGGCAAAGGAGGGUUAUAUCCACUAAAUGUAAUUAAAGGGGACCUGGGAGACAAAAAUAAAGUUAUAUAAUGUUUGUAAAACAACGUGGUUAUAGAAAUUAGGCU
rnacentral:lncRNA from 1 species